UGAAGCCCAACAAGGCCCAAUGUUGAGAGACCCGGGUCCCAGCGCGGCAGCACCUCCGACUCGCCGUCGCCGGUGUUGGGUGGGUCGCGACGGCGUUCUCUCCCGCCGCCGCCGCCGGUGACCUCGUGCCCCCACCCGAUACUCCCCGGCAGCCGCUCGUGGACCAGAUCGACAGUGUCGCCUGAGAAGCCAACCCCACGGCUACAGCCACUGAGCCACCCUGACAUGAGGGCGAGCGCCGGGAGAACGGAGGAGAAAAAAAGAAGAGAAGAAAACCUCCGUUCCCGGCGGCGGAGGAGGUCAGCGUCAGCGGCGGCGGCGUCGUUCCGAUGGCCGACGGGCCUGCCACGGACCCACGGUCUAAUGGAAUGUAUAUUCAGCUCUUUUGAGGAGGCUGGUGGUCUAGUUAACUUGUGUCCUCUCAAAAGGAAAAAUAAAAGAAAGAACAAAGCUUUGAAUAGUUUAUGGCUACAACUACAAGGGUCAUGUGUGGUGCAACUUGGGCUGAAGACUGGGGUCUGGGGAUUCAGACUCAAGAUCCUGACGAUGAUGGAAUGGAUGACAAUCCCCUUUUAUGCAAUAGAAAGGUUCAGAUGCUGGAUUGUUGACUGUGUGGUUUGCAUGCAUCAUUGGAAUCAAUCAAACAUUAGCAUCCAUUAA
rnacentral:lncRNA from 1 species